ACGCUCGACACCUACUGGAGACAGCAGUGGGGAAUAUUGCACAAUGGGGGAAACCCUGAUGCAGCGACGCCGCGUGAGUGAAGAAGUAUUUCGGUAUGUAAAGCUCUAUCAGCAGGGAAGAAAAUGACGGUACCUGAGUAAGAAGCCCCGGCUAACUACGUGCCGGCAGCCGCGGUAAUCUGAGCGGGCUGGCAAGGC
rnacentral:rRNA from 1 species